rnacentral:sRNA from 1 species
GCGAAAAGACUGGACUCUCCUGGGGCUUUUCCCUUCGCAGUGAAUAUGGGAAAGAAUUAGGGGGUGGGAGGGAGGCAGCAUGACUUGCAGUCGUCGCUGCCCUGCAUCUGCCCCCAGCCCCGAGCCAACAUCUUGAUGUUCCACGUAUCGGCUUUACAAAUAUGAUGAAAUGGCAGCCCCGGAAGAAGGCAUACUUCCGACAGGGUGUUGCCCUCCAGUACCUUGGACGUCAUGCCGAUGCCCUGGCAGCCUUUGCAUCUGGACUGGCUCAAGACCCCAAGAGUCUCCAGCUUCUGGUGGGGAUGGUGGAAGCCGCCAUGAAAUCUCCCAUGAGAGACUCCCUCGAGCCCACUUAUCAGCAGCUUCAGAAAAUGAAACUGGACAAGAGUCCCUUUGUGGUCGUGUCUGUGGUUGGGCAGGAACUCCUGACAGCUGGCCAUCAUGGGGCCUCUGUGGUUGUCUUAGAAGCCGCACUGAAGAUUGGCACCUGCAGCCUCAAACUGAGAGGUUCUGUUUUCUCUGCCCUGAGCAGUGCUUACUGGUCUCUUGGAAAUACAGAGAAGAGCACCGGAUAUAUGCAGCAGGACUUGGAUGUAGCCAAGACCUUAGGUGACCAGACAGGAGAAUGCCGAGCUCAUGGGAAUCUGGGCUCUGCAUUCUUCUCCAAAGGAAAUUACCGGGAGGCUCUCACUAACCACAGGCAUCAGUUGGUACUCGCCAUGAA